ACAACAGUUGGAAACGACUGCUAAUACCGCAUAAGCGCACAGUACCGCAUGGUACAGAGCGAAAAACUCCGGUGGUAUAGGAUGGGCCCGCGUCUGAUUAGCUAGUUGGAGGUGUAACGGACCACCAAGGCGACGAUCAGUAGCCGGCUUGAGAGAGUGAACAGCCACAUUGGGACUGAGACGCGGCCCAAACUCCUACGGGAGGCAGCAGUGGGGAAUAUUGCACAAUGGGGGAAACCCUGAUGCAGCAACGCCGCGUGAGUGAAGAAGUAUUUCGGUAUGUAAAGCUCUAUCAGCAGGGAAGAAAAUGACGGUACCUGACUAAGAAGCCCUGGCUAACUACGUGCCAGCAGCCGCGGCAAUACGUAGGGGGCAAGCGUUAUCCGGAUUUACUGGGUGUAAAGGGAGCGCAGGCGGUCUGUCAAGUCUGAUGUGAAAUCCCGGGGCUCAACCCUGGAACUGCAUUGGAAACUGUCAGACUAGAGUGCCGGAGAGGUAAGUGGAAUUCCUAGUGUAGCGGUGAAAUGCGUAGAUAUUAGGAGGAACACCAGUGGCGAAGGCGGCUUACUGGACGGUAACUGACGCUGAGGCUCGAAAGCGUGGGGAGCAAACAGGAUUAGAUACCCUGGUAGUCCACGCCGUAAAC
rnacentral:rRNA from 1 species